UAUCAUUCCAAAUAGAAUAGUUAAGCCUUUCGAUACCUCAGUUGUAUGCUCCAACUUCCUCUGUGGUCAUGGCUACAACUCUGCCAUGGCGGCAUCCACCGCCUCCGUUGCGCCUGCACAGGCGCCCAAUCCCCUUUCAUAACGCAGUCACUGUGCGUGCCUUCCAGCGCAGCGACUUCGACAGGUUCGCUAGGGAUGCCUGGCGCACUGCUAACGACGGCUUUGAGCAGCUGAUAUUUGAGACCAAGAAGACCGCAGAGCGUAUUGACCGCAGAUACUCCGUCUCCCGCCGUCUUAAUUCUGUCGCCCAAUCUGCCGCUGACCGCUUCCGUGAGAUUGAUAGAGAGCUGGAGAUUAGUGUUCGGUGGCGCACAUUUUCCAUGGAUUUUGUUAGAAAUUGGCCUAGGUACAGGAGGCAGCUUAAUAAUUUUCUGGAUACACCAUUGGGAAGAAGUUUUGCUACUAUUUUCUUCCUCUGGUUUGCAUUAUCUGGGUGGCUGUUUCGCUCCUUGAUAUUUGCUACAUGGGUUCUGCCAUUUGCUGCACCUCUUCUCAUUGGGACCGUGGCAAAUAAUCUUGUUAUUAAGGGGGCUUGUCCAGCAUGUAAGAGGCAGUUUGUUGGUUACAAAAACCAAGUAAUUCGAUGUGCUAGCUGUGGUAACAUUGUGUGGCAGCCAGAAGGAGACUUCUUUUCAAGAGGUGGUAGAGGUAGAGGGACCUCUCCAUCGAAAUCUGAUGGUGAUAUAAUUGAUGUUGAGUUUGAGGAGAAAUAACCCUAGAUGCUUGGUUGAAAGUGAUGGUUCACUUCAUGCACACUCUGCAUGGCAUGCCAAUACUAAAUUAUAUUUUUUGUUGGGUUUGGGGGGUGGGGGGGUGUGGUGGUGGGGUUUGAAUAGCGUUUAUUCCAUGCAUGUGAUGUUUAGACCUAAAGCUUCGUUGUUCAAGUUAAUUUUCUCAUCUUCCAAGUGCUCCUCUAGGAAUAGUUGAAUUAUUUCAGCUUGUACACUAUCUUUAUUCCACCCGGUUGAGAGAGACUUUGGAAAUGUACAAUACCCUUGUUCAUAGAUCAUUACAGAAUAAUCUUUUUCUCACGGUACAAUGUGUGGCAAAAAUUAGCUAGGAGCAAUUUUUCGUGAUCAACAUGCUGUGUCUCGAGGGAGUAAACCAUGGACGUUCAUUCAUUGUAUGCUAGUAUCUGUAUGACAUUAAGGUCCAUUUAUUUUUUGGGUUCCUCUAAAUGAUAUACUUAUUUUACUUUGAGA
rnacentral:misc_RNA from 1 species